rnacentral:rRNA from 1 species
AUACGGAGGGUGCGAGCGUUAAUCGGAAUUACUGGGCGUAAAGCGCGCGUAGGCGGUUUGGUCAGUCGGAUGUGAAAGCCCUAGGCUCAACCUGGGAAUGGCAUUCGAUACUGCCUGACUAGAGUAUGGUAGAGGGAAGUGGAAUUUCCGGUGUAGCGGUGAAAUGCGUAGAUAUCGGAAGGAACACCAGUGGCGAAGGCGACUUCCUGGGCCAAUACUGACGCUGAGGUGCGAAAGCGUGGGGAGCAAACAGGAUUAGAAACCCCGGUAGUCU